ACUCAAUACACUUAAUAGUAGUCAGAUAUGUAGCAAUAAUGAAGCUAAAUAACAGAUUGGUUUAUGCGUGAUUACCCACAACAUCAUCAAUCUCUCUCAUUUAUCAAUGAGCGGGGAUACAAAGUGUGCACGUAUUUAUCAAAUACACAAGAGGGUGGCAAUUAUUCGCUCUGUUGGUCGACUGCGUUGAACAUCUCGCCGGCUGUGUAAUAUCUUUAAAUUCCAGCCCAUAUUAGGAAUGCAGCUAAGCUCCAACACCACUUUCAAACAGGGGAGGUGCUGCUCAUCUGUUUAUGAUCUGUGUCAGCAAAAUGCGCAUGCUUUGUUCCAAAUCGUCAAGAUAAUCCAGUUAUACUUUUCCACAGUACACAGCGCGCUUUACUACAAUGACUACAAAACAGGGUUGCGAGUUUUCACAAUAUCCAGGGGGUGAGUCCAAAGAUUAGGUCAACUAGUCAGGACAAAAAAAUAAAUUCAAUGGCCCUGAAUAGAUUUGUACAUGUUUUUUACACAGUCAUUGAUGCUAGCCAAGAAAAGUUAAUGAAAGAAUUGCAUAAAGAGUAAAAAAAAAAAAAAAAAAAAAAAAAAAAAAAAAGAGUAUCAAAAGGAAUAUAACAAAUGAUUAAAAUAGUGGGUAGCUGUUAUAUCAAGAUCCCUCUCCUAUCAGCAUUUAUAAUAAAUAGCAAUAAAACAAACAAGUAGCUAACAAUAAACAAAUCUAAAAAUGCCAACUAUACACAUAUUAAAGCUUUAUACAGAUGUGCAAGGUUGCUUUGAGGUAUUGCACUUGUGUUGUGUGCUGAUGUGCGUGUUCAGUACAGCUGAUGGCUUGUGGAAAAAAACUGGAACAGUGUGUUAGUGUGUGUUAGUCCUGGUUUGGCUGGACCUGUAGCAUCUCCCUGAGGGCAGUGGUCAAACAGGUGGAUGUAGGAUGGGUGGAGUCUCUGCAGUAGUUAAAUGCAUAUCUUGAAGACCUUAGUGCCAUAUUAUCCUAAUAAAGCACUUUGCUCUCAGGCUGCAGGCCUACAUGUGGUUCCUGGAGUUUCUAAAAGUAGAACAGGAGGCACAGCUUUCAGCUAUGGAAGCUCAUUUCCACCACUGAAGAAAAAUUUCCAUCCGUAGUCAAGAUUUCAGGUUAUCGCAGUAGUUCGACUUACUCCGUUCUCUGAGAAAAUAACUUGAUAUUUGAAGUAAGUUAGUUGAAAUUUGGAAUUAUGGAUGGGGUUCAAAGUAUUACGUUUUGGUUCAGUGGUGGAAACAAACUUUCAUAUUUAGC
ensembl:lncRNA